rnacentral:rRNA from 1 species
GAUGAACGCUGGCGGCGUGCCUAAUACAUGCAAGUCGAGCGAACGGACGAGAAGCUUGCUUCUCUGAUGUUAGCGGCGGACGGGUGAGUAACACGUGGAUAACCUACCUAUAAGACUGGGAUAACUUCGGGAAACCGGAGCUAAUACCGGAUAAUAUUUUGAAUCGCAUGGUUCAAAAGUGAAAGACGGCCUUGCUGUCACUUAUAGAUGGAUCCGCGCUGCAUUAGCUAGUUGGUAAGGUAACGGCUUACCAAGGCAACGAUGCAUAGCCGACCUGAGAGGGUGAUCGGCCACACUGGAACUGAGACACGGUCCAGACUCCUACGGGAGGCAGCAGUAGGGAAUCUUCCGCAAAGGGCGAAAGCCUGACGGAGCAACGCCGCGUGAGUGAUGAAGGUCUUCGGAUCGUAAAACUCUGUUAUUAGGGAAGAACAUAUGUGUAAGUAACUGUGCACAUCUUGACGGUACCUAAUCAGAAAGCCACGGCUAACUACGUG